rfam:Xenopus laevis strain J chromosome 7L, whole genome shotgun sequence.
CAAAUGGCUGUUUUAACAGCCACCCCGUCAAAAGGAAUAGUCCCAG